AAUCCUGUGCUGUAGCCCACAUGUCCGGGGCAGAUCGUGUGUUGACAGCGGUGGCACCAGCGCCUAAACGGACCGAAGUGACACAUGCAGUAGAUGUCACUGCAGUUCCACCACCAGCCAGGGGAGCAGGCGAAUUGCAAUGCAUCGUGGGACACCGACACCCGCAGAUAGAAGACUGCACCUAAGCCUAAACUGCUGGCAUCGGUUUUGACAAUGAAUGGAAGGGGAAAAGUCAGCAAAACCAAGUAGAGGAAAACUGCCUCUUUCCAGUCCACUGAAAAUUCCUCAUGGUCUGCCGAAAUGAGAAGUGCACCUUCUGGUUCUGGGCACCAACCACAAAUCUUCCUCGGACUGAAGCCAUGCUGAGAAAAUACUCCCCACAUCGUAUCACCACCAGACCUCCUCAGUAUCAGAAAAGAUCACUAAGGUCUGUGGACUUCUCUUGGAGUGCACAACAAGUGUUCGUCUGCUUGCUGAGAGAGGGCAAGGUCUUCUAACCAUAUGGCUUUAUUUCACUGUUCAGUAAACCACUGCCUGUGUGGAUUUACCCAUUCACUUGUGUUAAAGGUUUGAAGGACUGUAGCCUGACUAUAUAUAUAUCUUGCAUACUAAUUCAGUGCAAGUACACCAUGCUUGAGGAUAUACUUAACUACCAUACAGUGAUGUGAAGGGGGAUGUGUACAUGGCAAGGUGGGUUUUAAUGGUUGAAAGCAAAAACAGGGUGGGAGUUGAAAGCAGUAUCCCUGAUCGG